GUUUCCUUUUAAGGUUGAGCCAGUGCUUUUAGAGGCUAACACAGAGCAGUAGACUAAGUCUCUAUAAAACCCCAGGGCAGAGACUAUAAAAUUCCUCUUUGGAUCCUGCCCUGAGUCACAGUU
rnacentral:snoRNA from 1 species